rnacentral:rRNA from 1 species
AUUGAACGCUGGCGGCAUGCUUUACACAUGCAAGUCGAACGGUAACAGGGAGCUUGCUCCGCUGACGAGUGGCGAACGGGUGAGUAAUGCGUCGGAACGUGCCGAGUAGUGGGGGAUAACGCAGCGAAAGUUGUGCUAAUACCGCAUACGUACUGAGGUAGAAAGUGGGGGACCUUCGGGCCUCACGCUAUUCGAGCGGCCGACGUCUGAUUAGCUAGUAGGUGAGGUAAAGGCUCACCUAGGCGACGAUCAGUAGCGGGUCUGAGAGGAUGAUCCGCCACACUGGGACCGAGCCACGGCCCAGACUCCUACGGGAGGCAGCAGUGGGGAAUUUUGGACAAUGGGCGAAAGCCUGAUCCAGCCAUGCCGCGUGUCUGAAGAAGGCCUUCGGGUUGUAAAGGACUUUUGUCGGGGAGGAAAUCCCCAGCGCUAAUACCGCUGGGGGAUGACAGCACCUGAAGAAUAAGCACCGGCUAACUACGUGCCAGCAGCCGCCGUAAGAC